GACGAACGCUGGCGGCGUGCCUAAUACAUGCAAGUAGAACGCUGAAGAGAGGAGCUUACUCUUCUUGGAUGAGUUGCGAACGGGUGAGUAACGCGUAGGUAACCUGCCUUGUAGCGGGGGAUAACUAUUGGAAACGAUAGCUAAUACCGCAUAACAAUGGAUGACACAUGUCAUUUAUUUGAAAGGGGCAAUUGCUCCACUACAAGAUGGACCUGCGUUGUAUUAGCUAGUAGGUGAGGUAAUGGCUCACCUAGGCGACGAUACAUAGCCGACCUGAGAGGGUGAUCGGCCACACUGGGACUGAGACACGGCCCAGACUCCUACGGGAGGCAGCAGUAGGGAAUCUGCGGCAAUGGGGGCAACCCUGACCGAGCAACGCCGCGUGAGUGAAGAAGGUUUUCGGAUCGUAAAGCUCUGUUGUAAGUCAAGAACGGGUGUGAGAGUGGAAAGUUCACACUGUGACGGUAGCUGACCAGAAAGGGACGGCUAACUACGUG
rnacentral:rRNA from 1 species